rnacentral:rRNA from 1 species
AGUAAAAGUCGUAACAAGGUUUCCGUAAGUGAACCUGCGGAAGGAUCAUUAUCGAGUGAAGGGUUCUUUUUAGAAUCCAACCUCCCAACCCUUGUAUUCCUUACCACUUUGCUUCGGCGGGCCUGUCACUUGGUGACUGCCGAAGGGUUAUGUUUCUUCAACUAACCUUUGGGCUCGUGUCCGCCGGAGAUAUCUGAAUUCUUGCUAUGAAUUGAUUGUCUGAGUUCUAAAGAAAAUAAGUUAAAACUUUCAACAACGGAUCUCUUGGUUCCGGCAUCGAUGAAGAACGCAGCGAAAUGCGAUAAGUAAUGUGAAUUGCAGAAUUCCGUGAAUCAUCGAAUCUUUGAACGCACAUUGCGCCCUCUGGUAUUCCGGAGGGCAUGCCUGUCCGAGCGUCAUUGCUAUACCUCAAGCUCGGCUUGUGUAUUGGGCCUACCGUCCUUCUGGACGGUGACCCGAAAGGCAGUGGCGGCGUCGCGUCCCGGUCCUUGAAGCGUAUGGGGCUUUGUCACCCGCUUGGAGGCCGGCCGACACCGUAGCCCAUCGUGGAUUGUUUUCCACAUUUUUCUCUUGGUGGACCUCGGAUCAGGUAGGGAUACCCGCUGAACUUAAGCAUAUCAAU